GGCACCCCUCACCUCAAACUAAGAAAGAAAGGUGCUGCUGAGUCAGUUGGAGACUGAGCCCCAUCAAGGCAACCCAGCUGUAAUUGGUGAGGGUGAUUUCUGACAGUAUCCAGGAGGGGAAAUGUGGACUUGCCAAGGACUCUAUUGACCUCUCCUUACAGGGCCCUACACAAGAGCACAGCUGGCUAUUUAUGACUGCGGCCUAAGCAGAUAUUCAAAAGCAAGAAACCUUGAUCCAGUCAGGUUACAGAAAAUAAUAGAAAAAUUAUGAAUGAAAGGAAGGCCGCAGAACAGCCACUGAUCUGAAGAGGAGCAGGCUUCUGCCCAUGCUGGUCUUUCCAUUGGGUGCUGCUGAAGCAAUCGGGCAAUUCAUUUAUUUUAUAUUAAAUCUUUUCUAAACAUGGUCAAUCUUGUCUUUCUUUAUGUUUUUCCCUAUUUUCUUCUCCAUAAAAUGGAAAGAGUCACAUUAAUAUGUAUUCAUAGAGCAUAUUAUUAUAUCAUUAUUGUGAUAAAAAUAACAUCACCAUUGUCAUUAACAGCUGCACUCUGAUACUCUUUCUCCAGACAUUAUCAUGACUUCUGUGGAUCCAUG
rnacentral:lncRNA from 1 species